AGUGAACGCUGGCGGUAGGCCUAACACAUGCAAGUCGAACGGCAGCACAGUAAGAGCUUGCUCUUACGGGUGGCGAGUGGCGGGCGGGUGAGGAAUACAUCGGAAUCUACUUUUUCGUGGGGGAUAACGUAGGGAAACUUACGCUAAUACCGCAUACGACCUACGGGUGAAAGCAGGGGAUCUUCGGACCUUGCGCGAUUGAAUGAGCCGAUGUCGGAUUAGCUAGUUGGCGGGGUAAAGGCCCACCAAGGCGACGAUCCGUAGCUGGUCUGAGAGGAUGAUCAGCCACACUGGAACUGAGACACGGUCCAGACUCCUACGGGAGGCAGCAGUGGGGAAUAUUGGACAAUGGGCGCAAGCCUGAUCCAGCCAUACCGCGUGGGUGAAGAAGGCCUUCGGGUUGUAAAGCCCUUUCGUUGGGAAAGAAAAGCAGCAGGUUAAUACCCCGCUGUUCUGACGGUACCCAAAGAAUAAGCACCGGCUAACUUCGUG
rnacentral:rRNA from 1 species